rnacentral:rRNA from 1 species
AUUGAACGCUGGCGGCAGGCCUAACACAUGCAAGUCGAGCGGAUGAAGGGAGCUUGCUCCUGGAUUCAGCGGCGGAUGGGUGAGUAAUGCCUAGGAAUCUGCCUGGUAGUGGGGGAUAACGUCCGGAAACGGGCGCUAAUACCGCAUACGUCCUGAGGGAGAAAGUGGGGGAUCUUCGGACCUCACGCUAUCAGAUGAGCCUAGGUCGGAUUAGCUAGUUGGUGGGGUAAAGGCCUACCAAGGCGACGAUCCGUAACUGGUCUGAGAGGAUGAUCAGCCACACUGGAACUGAGACACGGUCCAGACUCCUACGGGAGGCAGCAGUGGGGAAUAUUGGACAAUGGGCGAAAGCCUGAUCCAGCCAUGCCGCGUGUGUGAAGAAGGUCUUCGGAUUGUAAAGCACUUUAAGUUGGGAGGAAGGGCAGUAAGUUAAUACCUUGCUGUUUUGACGUUACCAACAGAAUAAGCACCGGCUAACUUCGUG